GGGCGGCUGGAAAAGAAUCGACUGUUGUCGCCGUCGCACUAGAGCCACUGCCGACGCCGAAAAUAUAUUUUUCCCCCCUUCUCGUUGGAAUUAGAUUCUAAACCUACCCACUCCCAUAUUGAAGCCAAAAGGCCGACAGGUGAGGUAGAAAAUAUGAGCGAAGCUUGGCCAAGUCACCACAACCAAAUCCAAAACCUCU
rnacentral:lncRNA from 1 species